GCCAGGAUAGCUCAGGUGGUUAGAGCGGAGGACUCAUAAGCCUCAGGUCGGGAGUUCGAGUCUCCCUCCUGGCACCA
rnacentral:tRNA from 1 species